UGUUCACUCAUCUUAAACAUCCUCAGUUGAAAUCCGUAUGCUCCGCUAGCCCUGCUGCCUCUAAUCAUUCAUUUCCCUGGAGAGCUGGCUUGGGAAAGGCAACUUAUUCCCAGAGGACAGUAGAGCAGAAGUGCAGAGCUCUAGUCCACAGCCUUCCUCCUCAGGACAUGUGGUUCAAGCCUGAAGCAUACAACGGGAGCACAAAGGAGGAAGGGACAGAGAAAAGAAACCAGCAUCAGCCUUGGGAAUGUCUCCUCUGACUGUAGAGUCAGGAGACAUUAAGAUGAACAUUCACUGGAACAUAUACAUUCUGGUAGAUUCCGAUGAGAAUUAAGCCCAUUCAUUCAUCUGGUAGGAUCCUUCCACAGCAAAUUCCCAUUCACAUAAUCCCACAUUAUAGCAUUGCUGCCGUGGGGAAGUCAGAUUCCAUUUACACUAUUCAGACUUGCAGUCCCUCAGUCAGGAACACCAGCUCCAGGAGUGAGACGCACCUCUACGAACUGUAUUUACGUUAACCCUCGGAACACCAUCCCACAUGACAAGCCACAGGGAGACCACAGCAGUGACAUUGUGUCCUUCUCAGUGCAGUGUAUCAAGAGGAACAUGAUGGUCAUUCCUGGCAAUGUCCACUUUUAUCACAUGAUUAAGGUAGUAUCUGUCAGUUUGCUCAACUAUAAAAUAUGUAAACUAUGAUUUUUUUCCUUUAUAAUUAAUAUGUGUCUUAUGAGGAAAUGCUUUGAGAUUACGCAGAGACACUGUUCCCCAUCAUACAUUUUUGCAGUAAUUUUGGCAGCCAUUGAUGAUUCUUGCCAGUAAUAAUCAUAGUGGUGGUUGUUAUGCAAAUGGUGAAGCCGUUUUAAUUAUUGCUUUUCUUACUUUUAAGGUCUGGGGCAGGGAUGGCAAGUUCCAACCACUUGGUGGUGGCCUUCUGGAACUCUAUGUGAGAACGAUUGUGAGGUGAAGUUCUCUUAACAGGGGAAGGAUUGUGAGGUCAAGUUUUCACAACCUGGUGAGGGGAGGUGGGAAGGGAGCAGACAGGUGCCAUAUUGGCAAUUCUAGGAUGGUCCCUUCCCCUUUGGAGAGAUAGAUCUUGCCUGUUGGGCCUUCAGGCCAACACACACUGGCCUGGCUAGAAGGAAUACUGCCUGUGUACCUCCUUCUUUCCUCCUUUGGGCCUACUUUGUUCUUCUGAAUGGCUGAAACUCCAAGGCACCAUGGUCUGCACAGAUGGUAACUAUGGUGCCAGGUGUUCCACAAGGAAGGGCAGCUUGUGCUAGGCUCUGGAUUAGCAGGGCUGGGGCUACAUUCACUUCCUCCCCAAGAGGCCCUAUCUUUCUAUACCAGUAUGUAGUUUCUCUGAUGAGAUCAGCAUGGAAGCCAGUUGCUUGGUGUGGUCCAGGAAGGCUUCUGAGAGGAGGCUGCUGCUGGACCUUGAAGGCUGGGGAGAAGAUCACUGAUGGGAUUUGGGAGCAUGCAGAACAGCAUUAUUGCUUCACCCUGGCAUGCCCUUUCCUUCAUGGACUGGAUUCUCCUUUUAUCUGGAUUCCCCCGUUAUAUUUCCUAUUGCAGCCAUAAUAAGUUUCUCCAACUUAAUGCCUUAGAACAACACAAAUUUAUUAUUUUACAAUUCUGGAGGUGGGAAGUCCAAAAUCAUCUUCACUGGGUUAGGUCUCAAUGUCGGCAGGGCUGGCUGAGGCUCUCGGGAGGAUUAUCUUUCCUUGCCUUUUUCCAGCUUCUAGAAGCCACCUUCAACACCUACCAUCAGAUCUAAAUUCCAGACAGCAAGAAGAUGUGAAAUCGCUCUUUCCUUCCUUUAAAGGCAAAACUCAAGACACACAUCAAAACAUCAAAACUCAAGGCACACAUCCAAACUCAUGGCACACAUCAAGUCUGCUCACAUCUUGAUAGUCACAUGGCUACACUCAGCUGCAAGAAACCCUGGGAAGUAUAGUCUUUGGCUUGGCCACUUGUCUAGCUCAAAAAUUACUACAGAGGAAUAAGGGGAGACAGAUAGUGGUCUCCUCUUCUUCAAGAGAGGUAAGAGGGCACAAUGCUGCCUUUUGUCUGAUGUGAUGGUUAAGAAGGAACAGACCAAUAUGAGGUGUGAGUUAUGUGCUGUGACUUGGACUCAUUCAACAGCAGGGCCCAAGGUUUACUCUGAUGGGACAGAUGGGCAGAAUCAGUGACCACAUCCCCUGUCAUGAACCUGCUGCAGCCAGUGUGAUACCUGUCCAGCACAGAGAUUGGCCCAGGGGAAAGAGCAUGGGCUUUAGAGCCAGAUUAAAUUGGGCUUGUAUUUGGGUUCUCCACUUGAUAGAUGUGUGAACCUCUUUGGGUCUCAUUUCUGAAAUAAUAAAGUGGAAAUGACAAAACUGACCUUGGGCUGUUGGGCAUAUUCAAUGAAACAAUGUAAACAAUCUAGCCUGGAACCUGGCACACAGUAGGUGCUCAAACAAUGUAGCUAGCUGUAGUGUCCACCCACACAUCUACACGAUUGGCAGCACUAUCUCAAAUCUUAUAGACAAACACAUACGAUUCCUCCUCAUAUUGCAAGGUCCCUUCAGAGCAGAAGGCCUUUGAGAAAUGGUAGAAUGAUUUGGUGCUAUCUGUUACCCUGCUAUAAUUUUCGUGUUUGGAAAUUCAUUAAGAAUUCAUUUCGAUGAAUCCCAAAUGCAUGCACCAUGAAAAACAAUUAGCAUUAAUAGUGUAAAAGAAGGAGAUCAAUAAAUAGAUUCAUUUUUAAACUGUAAUAAUUUAUUUGCUUCCUAACUUUUGGGAAAUACUGCAUCUUCUGGUGACAUGUCAACCAUUAAAUAGCCGCACAGCCAUGAUUUGUGGAAGGACGUUGAUAACCAGUAGGCAGACCCCGCUCUCGAGUGCCCAACCC